rnacentral:rRNA from 1 species
GAGUUUGAUCUAUGGCUCAGGAUGAACGCUAGCUACAGGCUUAACACAUGCAAGUCGAGGGGAAACGACAUCGAAAGCUUGCUUUUGAUGGGCGUCGACCGGCGCACGGGUGAGUAACGCGUAUCCAACCUGCCCACCACUUGGGGAUAACCUUGCGAAAGUAAGGACUAAUACCCAAUGAUAUCUCUAGAAGACAUCUGAAAGAGAUUAAAGAUUCAUCGGUGAUGGAUGGGGAUGGCGUCUGAUUAGCUUGUUGGCGGGGUAACGGCCCACCAAGGCAACGAUCAGUAGGGGUUCUGAGAGGAAGGUCCCCCACAUUGGAACUGAGACACGGUCCAAACUCCUACGGGAGGCAGCA